AUAUUAGCAACUGGGCAUGAUACAACUUUGUGUCUUGGAUUCAAAUGGCAGAUGACAGCUGAUACUUCACUGUUCUUUCUCUAAGUGAGCAGUACGUUUUCAGCUCAUUGUGACCACUCCCACUGAGCUGUAUCAAAAGGGAGGAGAUCCUGCCUGCAGCCAAGUCUCCAGCCAGGUGCAGUCAGUGGAAGGAAAUGAGAGGUGGGGCUUGGCUAUGACCUAAGGGACAUUCUUCUAACCUUUGUAAAAGGCUGCGAAAGUCACAGUGUAUAUAAGUAUAUAUAUAUCUAUUUAUCUCUAUCUAUAUAUAUUUUAAUCUAUGUAUCUCUAUAGAUAGAUCCUGGUAGAGAGAAACUGGAAAAUAGAAGUCUAAACAACCAAGUGAGACCUGGCACUGUAGAGAGGCCUGGCAGGGCAGCCUGGCAGUGCCCAGUGCCCUCUUCCCCAGUGCAUCUCCUGACUCUUGCACUGGGAGAGAAGAUGCACAACAAGCCUGUGAUCAGCUUGUGUCUUCACAAAUCUGGCUGGAAUUUAUGACUGAAACAGGAGCUGGGACUUCGUAGCCCUGCCUUCCACAUAUCCAGAUGGAAACUGUAGUUCUAACUGCUUUUGUUCAAGUUCUUUCCCCACGGGGGUUAAGGGCACUAAAGAGGUCCUAAACCUUCUUAUUAUUAGGUUACACAAUAUAGCCAGCCUUUCAGUCCCUGGCAAUCCUUGGAGAUUUUUGGAUGUUCAGCCAAAAGUCAUUAUUUGGAUCUACACUGGCAGUGUACUAAGACAGAGUCCCAGAUUACAAGAUUGGUACUUGAAAGAACUGAACUUUGAGCAUCAGUGUAGUUUAUCAGGUCUGAUCUAUUCACAAAUAGAAUAUGUCAGACUGGAAUAGAUAGAUAAACAAAUCCCCAAAGAAUCACUUUUUAGGAUAUGAGAAAGGUCUUCAGCUCAGCAACAACCCCUCCUGCACUCAGAAGAAAUGCAGGUGUUGUUACACUGACGUUACAGUAUUUGCAUUUCUUUCUGGUUCAGCUGGGUCCCUGAAAAUCCUCUGCUGCUUCCUUGGCUAUACACCCAUAGCCCAGUUUUAGGCUGCUGGCUGCACUUCUUCAAACAGACAGAGAGGUCACUGCACAGCUACGAAAAGCCUUUUCGUCUGUGGCAUUACACGCAUCACUCCAGCUUACCUGAAACUCUGCCCGUGGGGGUGGAUGUGUGAGGGCGUGCACUGCAUAUACCAGGGGAUGCUGAGCUGAUGCUAUGCUCCAUAUGGGCGCUCUGAUGUUAUGCUCUUGAGUGCAGAGAGAUGUCAUCAGCUACAGACGCAGGACAGAGAUCUGGGCAGCAGUUCUGCAGAAAACAUCUGGGGUACUGGCAGAUCCAAAGCUGAACCAGAAUCACAGAACUAUGGAAUCAUAGAAUCUUUCAGGUUGGAGAAGACCUAUAAGAUUGUGAAGUCCAACUAUAAACGUAGCACUGCCAAGCCCACCACUAAACCAAGUCCCUAAGCGCCACAACUGCAUGUCUUUUAAAUACCCCCAAGGGAUGAGGACUCCACCACUUCCCACUGCCCACUUCCCUGGGCAGCCUGUUCCAAUGCCUGACAACCCUUUCAGUGAAAGAAUUCUUCCUGAUAUCACCUGUCUUACCUAUUUUAAGAAAAGCCCAUGCCAUAUUGGAAUAUAUGUGGUGAUGUUACAUACAAGAAACUUCUGCUGUCUUAAAGAUGUGAGGGGUUGAGCUCUAUUCCAUGCUGCUAAUACCUCCUGGAGAGCUGACUCCACCUUUAGCAGCACACUUUGGAAAAGAUACGGACUAAUCAGCAGGGGUUCAGAAAAGCAACAGGAAUAAGUAGAAGCAAUAUGAUUUGGUUUAUUUUGCUGUAAGAGAGUUUUAGGUAAGGCAUUGGAAAUGCUUCCCAGUACUGUCAAUAGAGAAACAAGGAGUAGGCUAUCUACCUAGUUCUCUGUCCCUGCAGGUUUUUGAGAACAGUCCAGAAACCUGCUCAGGUGAGGUCAGAAAACAUGCUAGAUCUACCAUGAAUGACAUGGGUAACAGCUGAUCCCACUCCACAACAGAGAGACAGACUGCCUCUAGACCCUUUCCAGCCCUCUUCUGUCUCACCCAGUGAUUCUUAGAUGAAUUAUGUGCUGUCAUUUACACCUGUUUAGGCAAUUGGUUAUACAGUUUGGAUAAAAAUAAUGUUCUUAUAUCACUAUGAAGAAUGAAAAAGAGGGCUUGGAAAAGGGAAAUUGUCAGAAAGGAAUGUGUUUGUUGUCCUGCAUGGCAAGAUGGGCCUGCAUGGAAGCUUUAAUCCUGGUAGAGCCCCUGCUUUAGUCCUAUUUAAACACAACACAGUACAGUCCUUUGACUAUGACUAGAGAUAUACUGCAGAAAGGGUUUCUUACAUGCCACACCUAAGGGGAAGGAUUUGACUACUUGUGCUUGCUGGGACACUUCUUGGUCUUCAGGCAGUAAACCUGGAUGUCUCUUCAGAGAGAUCUGCUCUUACAGCAGUUGAUUUAGAAACUUACCCACAAACAUAACGCUGCUC